CCUACGGGAGGCAGCAGUGGGGAAUAUUGCACAAUGGGCGAAAGCCUGAUGCAGCGACGCCGCGUGAGGGAUGGAGGCCUUCGGGUUGUAAACCUCUUUCGCUCAUGGUCAAGCCGCAACUGUGGGUUGUGGUGAGGGUAGUGGGUAAAGAAGCGCCGGCUAACUACGUGCCAGCAGCCGCGGUAAUACGUAGGGCGCGAGCGUUGUCCGGAAUUAUUGGGCGUAAAGGGCUUGUAGGCGGUUGGUCGCGUCUGCCGUGAAAUUCUCUGGCUUAACUGGGGGCGUGCGGUGGGUACGGGCUGACUUGAGUGCGGUAGGGGAGACUGGAACUCCUGGUGUAGCGGUGGAAUGCGCAGAUAUCAGGAAGAACACCGGUGGCGAAGGCGGGUCUCUGGGCCGUUACUGACGCUGAGGAGCGAAAGCGUGGGGAGCGAACAGGAUUAGAUACCCUGGUAGUCCACGCUGUAAACGUUGGGCACUAGGUGUGGGGGCCACCCGUGGUUUCUGCGCCGUAGCUAACGCUUUAAGUGCCCCGCCUGGGGAGUACGGCCGCAAGGCUAAAACUCAAAGGAAUUGACGGGGGCCCGCACAAGCAGCGGAGCAUGUGGUUUAAUUCGAAGCAACGCGAAGAACCUUACCUAGACUUGACAUCUCCUGCAUUACCCUUAAUCGGGGAAGUUCCUUCGGGGACAGGAAGACAGGUGGUGCAUGGUUGUCGUCAGCUCGUGUCGUGAGAUGUUGGGUUAAGUCCCGCAACGAGCGCAACCCUUGCCCUAUGUUGCCAGCACGUGAUGGUGGGGACUCGUGGGGGACUGCCGGGGUUAACUCGGAGGAAGGUGGGGAUGACGUCAAAUCAUCAUGCCCCUUAUGUCUUGGGCUUCACGCAUGCUACAAUGGUUGGUACAGAGGGUUGCGAUACUGUGAGGUGGAGCGAAUCCCUUAAAGCCAGUCUCAGUUCGGAUUGGGGUCUGCAACUCGACCCCAUGAAGGUGGAGUCGCUAGUAAUCGCAGAUCAGCAACGCUGCGGUGAAUACGUUCUCGGGCCUUGUACACACCGCCCGUCACGUCACGAAAGUUGGUAACACCCGAAGCCCAUGGCCUAACCACGUUUGUGGGGGGAGUGGUCGAAGGUGGGAUUGGCGAUUGGGACGAAGUCGUAACAAGGUAGCCGUACCGGAAGGUGCGGCUGG
rnacentral:rRNA from 1 species